rnacentral:rRNA from 1 species
GGCGUGCCUAAUACAUGCAAGUCGAGCGAAUCUUGAGGUGCUUGCACCUCUUGAUUAGCGGCGGACGGGUGAGUAACACGUGGGCAACCUGCCUGUAAGACUGGGAUAACACCGGGAAACCGGUGCUAAUACCGGAUAAUCCUUUUCCUCUCAUGAGGGAAAGCUGAAAGUCGGUUUCGGCUGACACUUACAGAUGGGCCCGCGGCGCAUUAGCUAGUUGGUGAGGUAACGGCUCACCAAGGCGACGAUGCGUAGCCGACCUGAGAGGGUGAUCGGCCACACUGGGACUGAGACACGGCCCAGACUCCUACGGGAGGCAGCAGUAGGGGAUCUUCCGCAAUGGACGAAAGUCUGACGGAGCAACGCCGCGUGAGCGAUGAAGGCCUUCGGGUCGUAAAGCUCUGUUGUUAGGGAAGAACAAGUACUGGAGUAACUGCCGGUACCUUGACGGUACCUAACCAGAAAGCCACGGCUAACUACGUGCCAGCAGCCGCGGUAAUACGUAGGUGGCAAGCGUUGUCCGGAAUUAUUGGGCGUAAAGCGCGCGCAGGCGGUUCUUUAAGUCUGAUGUGAAAGCCCACGGCUCAACCGUGGA